rnacentral:tRNA from 1 species
AAAUAAGUAAGCUAAAUCUUAAGCUUUUAGGUUCAUACCCUAAAUAUAGAUUAUUUAUUAUAAAAAUAUCUCUUAUUUA